GCAGCAUCUGUCUGUAUGUCAGAGUGCUAGUGCUUCCUUCUAAACAGAAUGGAAAAUUCAUUCCAAGUUAAUAGUUUUCCAUCAUCCUACCUGCUUAGAACUCAUAUGUAACUGUGAUAUAGCUACCUGCCCAGGCAUAUUGGCAGGUGUGUGUGUGUGUGUAAUCUCAGAACACACAGGUAAUGUGAUGUGACCUAUGACAACUGGUAACAGUGGAUUCAUUUACACUUCUAUGACCAGGCCUUAGGGGAAGGUCAGUUUUUUAAAAAACAAGUUGUGUCUUCCUACCUAUCCCCAAAUACAAGUUAAAACAGAAGGGUGUUGGCUUCAGCUUUCUUUCCUUUCUUUCUUUCUCUCUCUCUUUCUUUCUUUCUUUCUUUCUUUCUUUCUUUCUUUCUUUCUUUCUUUCUUUUCUUUUCUUUCUUUUUUUUUUUUUUUUGCUCAGUAAUACAGUCAAGCAGGAGUCUGUUUGCAAAUGAAAGCUAUAUAAGCAUUUUUGUUUAUUCCAAAUAAAAUAUAUUUGUAUUAUUUGUUAUUCAUACUAUCCAUCCAAGCCACACUGUCUUCUGUACCAGGGCAUCCAGUAGAAAUACACCUGUUUUGUUCUAAAACAAACAAAAAAUGUGAACACACACAAACACAGGGCGGGGGUCAGUCUCAUGUAGCUUAGAUUGGUCCCAAUUUCAACUUACUAUGGAGCUAAGGAUAACCUUGAAUUCUUGAUCCUCCUGCCUCCUCCCCCAAAGUGCUAGGCUUACAGAUGUAUGCCACUGUACCCAGGUCUAAAAUUGUCCUUAUCCCUGUUGUGGAGUCUAAUCUGAACUACACUUGUCCACACCACACCACACCACACCACACCCUCUUUAUCUGUCCCCCCUUCAUGUAACUGCCCCAUAUUUUCCUGAAGAGAUGUUGCUAGACUCAAUCCUUGCAUCUUGCCCCUGGCCCUUCUUCAGGCUUGCAACCUGGCUCUGAGGGCUUCAGAGAAAAUAUUGACAGUAUCUAUUUC
rnacentral:lncRNA from 1 species